GACGAACGCUGGCGGCGUGCCUAAUACAUGCAAGUAGAACGCUGAAGAGAGGAGCUUACUCUUCUUGGAUGAGUUGCGAACGGGUGAGUAACGCGUAGGUAACCUGCCUUGUAGCGGGGGAUAACUAUUGGAAACGAUAGCUAAUACCGCAUAACAAUGGAUGACACAUGUCAUUUAUUUGAAAGGGGCAAUUGCUCCACUACAAGAUGGACCUGCGUUGUAUUAGCUAGUAGGUGAGGUAAUGGCUCACCUAGGCGACGAUACAUAGCCGACCUGAGAGGGGGAUGGCCAAAACGGGAACGGAGAACAGGCCAAGAUUCCAAGGGGGGCAGCAGUAGGGAAUCUUCGGAAAUGGGGGCAACCCUGACCGAGCAACGCCGCGUGAGUGAAGAAGGUUGUCGGAUCGUAAAGCUCUGUUGUAAGUCAAGAACGGGUGUGAGAGUGGAAAGUUCACACUGUGACGGUAGCUUACCAGAAAGGGACGGCUAACUACGUG
rnacentral:rRNA from 1 species